rnacentral:rRNA from 1 species
GACGAACCUGACAAACGUUAUUCGGAAUUACUGGGCUUAAAGGGCGCGUAGGCGGCCUGGCAAGUGGAAGGUGAAAUCCCUCGGCUUAACCGAGGAACUGCCUCCCAAACUGCUUGGCUUGAGACCAGGAGAGGUGAGUGGAAUUCCCAGUGUAGCGGUGAAAUGCGUAGAUAUUGGGAGGAACACCAGUGGCGAAGGCGGCUCACUGGACUGGUACUGACGCUGAGGCGCGAAAGCGUGGGGAGCAAACGGG